ensembl:lncRNA
CAGCGCUUCACCUCUCAUCCCGCUGCAGAAAGGAAUGUUUCAACAGGGAGCCAAGAUGAAAUUGUAACGCCUUCUCUUCUCAAAGUCCUAGACUCCCACCCCUGCCUCAGAAGCAACUCCUCUGCUCACGAGCCAAAGCCGCCCGGAAGUCCUUUCCCGGGGUCAGUGCCGCUUGGGUGUCGGAUGCCCACCUGCCCAAGCUUGGCGGUCUCCACGUUAGGACCCGUGAAACGUCAAAACUACAAAGCAUUUGGGAAGUGGUGGACUAGUCAGAACCAGGACAAGCCUUAGGAUGAUCCCGGAUCCAGGGCAGGCUUUUUACCGGGCUUGGGGAUGAUCCUCGCGGCCUUUGGUGCUGACCUGAUGUUUUCCCACUGCUCAAGAGGUGAGAAAAUGUAUGUACGCUGGGACGGUGAGUAUCUGCAUUUGGCUGGAGCACACAGCCAGCAUGGCAGAACGUGUUGUUUCGAACAGUUGGUUGGGGCCACAUUUUUAAGGACCUUGAAGACUUUACUGAGGCGUUCCAUUGUUUUGGAUAGGCAGUUUGGAAGCCGUGAAGAUUGUGAAACAGGUUGGAGGAGAAAUGGCCAAAUCAAGUGGCCAGGGUUAGACCCUAAGGAUGUUAAUAUGGCUGAAAUGUGUAGGUUUGGCCAAGCUGGGACCAGUGAGAACCGACAUCAGUUAGAAACUUGCAACAGUCUGAAGGAAAGGUGUUAUGGAGGUUGUCCAGCUUUAUUGUGAGCUUUGUCAUUGUUCGGGUGUUGAAAAACAGGUGUCGGAAUUCCCCCGUGGCUCAGUGGCUUAAGGAUCUGGUGUUGUUACUGCUGGAGCUUGGGGCACGACUGUGGCUUGGGUUUGAUCCCUGGCCUAGGAACUUCUGCAUGCCGUGGGCAUGGCCAAAAAAUAAAAUAAAAUAAAAUAAAUAAAAUAAAAUAAAGUAAAAUAAAAUAAAAGAAGGUGAGAUGUUACCUCUCAAAUUCCACAGACUUUCUUGUCCUGGCUAGGAUUUUGCCUGGUUCAACUAAAAAAACAAAAACAAAAAAACAAAAGAAACUUUGCCUUGCAUUUCAAAGGUUCAAAGGUACUUGUUUCAAAUGUGCUUCUCAAGCUGCAUGUGGUACUCAUGGCAUCGUGAACGUCUGUGUCGUUCCCUGAAGCUCCAUGUCGUUUGACCAUCUCCGGCUGAUUGCAUUGAAACAUAGGCGUCACUUCACACAGACCCGCACAUGGCUUCGGAUGUGCUGUGUGUGAGCUGGAAUAGUGGGGCCUCAUUCCAUUCCGAAGGGAGAGGAAGUGGAGGAUUUGCCUGUGAUGUUGGCCACUAUUUGGCUUAUUGUUGAAGAGGAAAAUAUAAGGGCUGAGCAAUUUUGACCUGACUUUUUCUGUCCCUAAGAGACACUUGUCACUAGUCAGUGGCUUAGGAUACCCAGCAAAUAUUUAAAAGGUUAAUUCGUUUCAAUGAAAAAAGUUAUCCUCCAUACCUCUCAUUAUAUGAACUUUUGGCAAAGGAGAUUUCUCCCUUUACGUACUUCUUAUGCUAGACACAUUCCAUCAUCUCCCCAUGAAGAGAAACAAGGCUGAAAAUGGUAGAAUAAUUCUGAGUCGUGGGAGUACCAUAGCAUUCACAGGAACCUCGAGUAAGUACUAGGAACUUUGACCCUUACGGUUAAUUUGCGAGUCCUUGGCAAUGAGAUGGCAUGUGUUUCUUCACUGUGAAGCAAAGGAAACCUAUUAUGUCACAGGUAAGUUUCUGUCCUGAUGCCACGCUGACCUUGUUGCUGCCAUGCACUUACACAGACAGCUCAUCUGGUCCCCACUGCUCCAGUCAUUGUGAUGAUUUGUGUAUUUUUAUUUUCAAAGAAGAUCUGUUUGCAUCAUUUUAUUUCUAUUUGGACCUGCUCUCAUCGCUGCCCAUGUUUACCCCUUUCCACUAGGUGGCACUCUUACCCAUGAAACUGCUACAGUCAUGCCCGUUACAAGAGGCGGCCAAGUAGGGGGCUGGGUUGUGCUUUUCUUUUCACUCCUUUAUUUUUUAAUAUUUAUAUAUUUUUUUGGCUGCACUCACGGCAUGCGGCAGUUCCCGGGCCAGGGAUCAAACCUGCGCCACAGCAGUGACAAGGCAAGAUCCUUAACCUGCUGAGCCACCACGGAACUCCUGGGUUGUGUUUUUCUGUGAGGAUGAAACACUUCUGGGUUGCUGGUAUCCUUGUCCCUCUACUCCCAAAUUAGGCACGAAGAUGCUGUUUCAUACUUGCCUGCCUCUUGAAGUCUCGUAAAUUUACUUGGUACUGUGAUAGGCACAGGGGCAAGAUUUGAGCUAAACCACUGUCCUGGCCCUCCACGAGCUGGCCAUCGAGUGGCGGGAGCCAGAUUGUGGAAGAGCCAGAGAAGGGGCCGUGACAGGGGAGGGGGUGCUUCUGACUGGAGCAGACUCCGCAUGAGUAGAGGGUCUGAAGGACUAGCGGUCCAAGACUCUGAUCUGUGUGGCUGUUGGCAGAGGGCGAGGGGCUCCCUGGCGUGCAGUAAAGGGAGAGACUAACGUCAUUGCAUCAUUUCACUGGUAGUGGCCCGGAGGCCGGGGAGGAAAGCAAUGGCCAUUGAUGCUUCCUUCCAUCCCAGAACUGACUGGGCUCUUCUUCAGUCUCAGAGACAGAAGAUGGAACGUGUCCCCCUCUUCCCGAAGCAGUGAGUGGAGAUAUCUAUGGCUCUCUCAUUUGGUUUUACCUAUCCUAUUCCUUAUUUUUGGAAAAUAAAAAAAUAGAAAUUCACCCCCAUAAAAGUAUAACCAUCAGCCAUGUUCCUACCAACAAAAAUUAACAAAAAAUCUUGAUGUUCUGGUUUUCAAAGUUUUCCAUGUUUAUACUUUUAAAAAAUUACACAGACAUCAUAAUAAUACAUCACCUCUUUUUCUCACUUAUUUUAACCUAUAUUCUUCCCAUUCAUAACAGGGCCAGUUCUUGUGUUGCACUAUGGGAUGCCGACACGCUUGGGCAUAAAAUGCCUCACAGCAUGACGGCGGCAGAGAGAACCGUUAUGUUCUGCAUUUUCUGUCUCCUUGCUCCUCAGUGCAAACUCAAUUUCUUUUCCUGGAGUUCAAAAUUACAUUGUGGAAGAGGUGCAAAAUGCAGAAAGAUGAAAAUAAACAGAUUACCUGUGGUCCCUCCCCUUGGAGAGAACCAGAGUUGAUGUUCAUUUUGGUAUAUUUCCUUCUAGUCUUUUUUCUACAUAGUUUUUGAAAAUUAGCUUUGUAUUUGAUCUAAUAUUUUAUAAUCUGCCUUUUUCCACUGAUUGUUUUAUGAUUUCGAAAUACUUCUACUUCAUGAUUUUUAAUAGUUGCCCAGUAUUCCAUCCUAUAGCUAUAGCUAGAAUUAUAUCAUACUUUCUAAUUGCUAUUGCUAGACAUGUAAUGCUCUCCUUUUUUUUUGGUUAUUAUCAUAAUGUAUGUUCUUGUACAUAAAUCUUUGUGUGAAGGUAUAACUAUUAGGAUAAAUUUCUAGAAGUGGAACUUCUGAGUUAAAGACUACGAACAUUGAAAGGUGCUCUUUCAUUGACUUUUUCUUUAUCAAAGUCAUAUGUAUUUAUUAUAGACCAUGCAGAAAUCACAGAUAUACAAAAAAGAGAAUGAAAAAGGACAUGAAUGUUACCUAUAUUUUUACCACUCGGAGGUAAUCACUAUUCAUAUUUUAUUAUAACCAUUUAAUCUACUUUUCUCGGAAUUCCCAUCAUGGCUCAGUGGUAACAAACCCAGCUAGGAUCCAUGAGGAUGCGGGUUGGAUCCCUGGCCUCACUUAGUGGGUUAAGGAUCUGGCAUUGCCGUGAGCUGUGGUGUAGGUCGCAGAUGCAGCUCAGAUCUUGUGUUGCUGUGGCUGUGGCUGUGGCUGUGGCCGGCAGCUGUAGCUCCGAUUCGACCCCUAGCCUGGGAAUUUCCAUAUGCCGCAGGUAUGGCCCUAAAAAGCAAAAA